UGCCUACGGGGGGCAGCAGUGGGGGAUAUUGCACAAUGGAGGAAACUCUGAUGCAGCGACGCCGCGUGAGGGAAGACGGUCUUCGGAUUGUAAACCUCUGUCUUUGGGGAAGAAAAUGACGGUACCCAAAGAGGAAGCUCCAGCUAACUACGUGCCAGCAGCCGCGGUAAUACGUAGGUGGCAAGCGUUGUUCGGAAUAACUGGGCGUAAAGGAUGCGUAGGCGGUUAAACAAGUUAUAUGUUAAAUAUAUAGGCUUAACCUGUAGAAAGCAUAUAAAACUGUUUAACUAGAGUGCAGG
rnacentral:rRNA from 1 species